rfam:Coccidioides posadasii str. Silveira unplaced genomic scaffold supercont2.25, whole genome shotgun sequence.
CCCCAUCGCAUGAUGAAAUAUUACGGAUGUAAAUCACAGACCUGUUCCGAAGCGCAAUACGAUGUGGAUAUUUUCCGUUGCCUUCCUUCUGACCUAACGU